UGUGUCUGUGUGUAUGUCUGUGUGUAUGUGUGUGUGUAUCUAUGUGUAUGUCUGUGUGUAUGUGUGUGUCUGUGUGUAUGUAUGUGUGUGUGUGUGUCUGUGUGUAUGUAUGUGUAUCUGUGUGUCUGUGUGUAUGUAUGUGUGUCUGUGUGUGUAUGUAUGUGUAUCUGUGUGUCUGUGUGUAUGUAUGUGUGUCUGUGUGUAUGUAUGUGUGUAUGUGUGUGUGUGUGUGUCUGUGUGUGUAUGUAUGUGUGUCUGUGUGUGUGUCUGUGUGUCUGUGUGUAUGUAUGUGUGUCUGUGUGUCUGUGUGUCUGUGUGUGUGUCUGUGUGUCAGUGUGUGUGUGUGUCUCUCCAGGCCCGCGUCUCGCACAGCCGCCGUGCGGACCGCAGGGCGCUG
rnacentral:lncRNA from 1 species